GCUGCGGUGGUCUAGUGGUAUGACACUGGAACAGACAGUCUGCGGCCGCGCAUUGACUCCCCUGACCGCGGAUGUCAAGCACCACGGAAACCGUGGAUGCUGGCCACAGCGAGGGGUGUAGUGAAGCAAUUUGGCAGGCAUACUCGACCGGAAGCGCCAGUUCGAUUCUGGCCCGCGGCA